AUAUUUGCUAUCCAUGGGCAGAAAAUUAGGAGCCAAUCGACAUAUGAUAUUUCUCUCUCAAUCGUAAACUUCCAAGCUAACCAAUUUAAUACCUCUCAUAUACUCCUUCCUUUUUUCUUCCCAUGGAUAGCAAUUACUCCAUGUGA